rnacentral:rRNA from 1 species
CGACCUCAGAUCGGGCGAGAA